rnacentral:lncRNA from 12 species
GACCAGGUAAAAAUGAACCAUGAAAAGAGCACAAGGGAUAAAAUAUCAAAGAGAAGCCAGCCAAAGCAGAACCUCUCCCUUAAAUGUAGCAUUGGUUUCGGGGAUGAAGAUGAAAACAGAAACACACUUUCCUGGAUCGCAUCUUCUCUCGAUUAUUUGUCUCCAGGGUGCGCAGCCACUAUGCUUGCAGCCAAGAUAAGCACCCAGAGAAUGACAAUGGCAGAGCACGAGAAGAUGUCAUGCGACUCAAAAGAAUGUAUAAUAUCAAAAGAGAAAGCUCAAAUUCAAAGUAGAUGCCAGGAGCAUCACAGACUCCUGUGGAGAAAUACUGACUUCUCAUCUCUUGGUCUUGGAGCCUCCUGAAGAGACUGCAUUUCUCCCCACCUCCCAAUGGCUUUGGAUUUCAUGACUCAUUCAUAUAAAUUUAUCUUUUUCUUUUUGUAGCUUGAUUAGGGUCCUUUAUGAUCAAUUUAUUUUUUUUUCUAAAAUGUGAUCAUUUUGAGGGCACCUGGGUGGCUCAGUCUCACACAGCUGAGACUCUGAAGAGAGUCACUGAAAGAGUCUGCCUUCAGCUUGGGUCAUGAUAAAGAGCCCUGGGAUUGAGUCCCAUAUCGGGUUCCCUGCUCAGCAGGGAGUCUGCUUCUCCCUCUCCCUUGCUGCUCCCCCUGUUUGUGCUCUCUAUCUUUCUGUCAAAAAAAUAAAUUCUUUAAAAAAUAUGUGAUCUUUUUGGGG